rnacentral:snRNA from 1 species
AGCUUUGCACAGAGCCGUAUCAUAGCCAAUGAGGUUUAUCUGAGGUGUGAUUGUUGCUAAUUAAAAAUUGUACCAUGAAGCAAGAGAAUAGAUAAAAUUCUGAAAAAUCAUACA